UACGAAGGGGGCUAGCGUUGCUCGGAAUCACUGGGCGUAAAGCGCACGUAGGCGGGUCUUUAAGUCAGGGGUGAAAUCCUGGAGCUCAACUCCAGAACUGCCUUUGAUACUGAGGAUCUCGAGUCCGGGAGAGGUGAGUGGAACUCCGAGUGUUGAGGUGAAAUUCGUAGAUAUUCGGAAGAACACCAGUGGCGAAGGCGGCUCACUGGCCCGGUACUGACGCUGAUGUGCGAAAGCGUGGGUAGCAAACAGG
rnacentral:rRNA from 1 species